UGUAUAAUGGGUCAGCGACUUAUAUUCUGUAGCAAGGUUAACCGAAUAGGGGAGCCGAAGGGAAACCGAGUCUUAACUGGGCGUUAAGUUGCAGGGUAUAGACCCGAAACCCGGUGAUCUAGCCAUGGGCAGGUUGAAGGUUGGGUAACACUAACUGGAGGACCGAACCGACUAAUGUUGAAAAAUUAGCGGAUGACUUGUGGCUGGGGGUGAAAGGCCAAUCAAACCGGGAGAUAGCUGGUUCUCCCCGAAAGCUAUUUAGGUAGCGCCUCGUGAAUUCAUCUCCGGGGGUAGAGCACUGUUUCGGCAAGGGGGUCAUCCCGACUUACCAACCCGAUGCAAACUGCGAAUACCGGAGAAUGUUAUCACGGGAGACACACGGCGGGUGCUAACGUCCGUCGUGAAGAGGGAAA
rnacentral:rRNA from 1 species